UACGGGAGGCAGCAGUGGGGAAUUUUGGACAAUGGGCGCAAGCCUGAUCCAGCCAUCCCGCGUGCAGGAAGAAGGCCUUCGGGUUGUAAACUGCUUUUGUCCGGAAAGAAAAGUUUGGUUUAAUACCGGGGGAUCAUGACGGUACCGUAAGAAUAAGCCCCGGCUAACUACGUGCCAGCAGCCGCGGUAAUACGUAGGGUGCAAGCGUUUUUCGGAAUUACUGGGCGUAAAGCGUGCGCAGGCGGUUUUGUAAGACAGAUGUGAAAUCCCCGGGCUCAACCUGGGAACUGCUUUUGAGACUGCAAGGCUAGAGUGCGGCAGAGGGGGGUGGAAUUCCGCGUGUAGCAGUGAAAUGCGUAGAUAUGCGGAGGAACACCAAUGGCGAAGGCAAUCCCCUGGGCCUGCACUGACGCUCAUGCGCGAAAGCGUGGGGAGCAAACAGGAUUAGAUACCCUGGUAGUCCACGCCCUAAACGAUGUCAACUGGUUGUUGGGUCUUUACUGAUUCAGUAACGAAGCUAACGCGAGAAGUUGACCGCCUGGGAGACGC
rnacentral:rRNA from 1 species